UACGGGGGAGGUAAGCGUUGUUCGGAAUUACUGGGCGUAAAGGGCUCGUAGGCGGCCAACUAAGUCAGACGUGAAAUCCCUCAGCUUAACUGGGGAACUGCGUCUGAUACUGGAUGGCUUGGAUUCGGGAGAGGAAUGCGGAAUUCCAGGUGUAGCGGUGAAAUGCGUAGAUAUCUGGAGGAACACCAAUGGCGAAGGCAGCUCGCUGGAACGGUACUGACGCUGAGGCGCGAAAGCGUGGGGAGCGAACAGGG
rnacentral:rRNA from 1 species